CUUUAAGUGUGCUUCGUGGUCUGUGCACUGUGUUGGGUGCACACUGAUACAUUCCUACAAUGCUUAACACUUUCUGACCAACCUCAAGACCUUAUAUAUUAGGACCAUAAUACAUGGCACAGAUUUAGUACACAUCUCUUUCAACAGUAUGGUAAUAAUUCAAUGUAAAUCUAAAAAAGAAAAAUCGAGCCAUUAAUAAAAGAC